rnacentral:rRNA from 1 species
UACGAAGGGGGCUAGCGUUGUUCGGAAUCACUGGGCGUAAAGGGCGCGUAGGCGGCUAGAUAAGUCGGGGGUGAAAGCCUGUGGCUCAACCACAGAAUUGCCUUCGAUACUGUCUGGCUUGAGACCGGAAGAGGUUAGUGGAACUGCGAGUGUAGAGGUGAAAUUCGUAGAUAUUCGCAAGAACACCAGUGGCGAAGGCGGCUGACUGGUCCGGUUCUGACGCUGAGGCGCGAAAGCGUGGGGGAGCAAACAGG